rnacentral:rRNA from 1 species
CCUACGGGAGGCUGCAGUGGGGAAUAUUGCACAAUGGGGGGAACCCUGAUGCAGCGACGCCGCGUGAGUGAAGAAGUAUUUCGGUAUGUAAAGCUCUAUCAGCAGGGAAGAAAAUGCCGGUACCUGACUAAGAAGCCCCGGCUAACUACGUGCCAGCAGCCGCGGUAAUACGUAGGGGGAACGCGUUAUCCGGAUUUACUGGGCGUAAAGGGAGCGUAGACGGCUGUGCAAGCCAGAUGUGAAAGCCGGGGGCUCAACCCCGGGAGUGCAUUUGGAACUGUGUGGCUGGAGUGUCGGAGAGGCAGGCGGAAGUCCUAGUGUAGCGGUGAAAUGCGUAGAUAUUAGGAGGAACACCAGUGGCGAAGGCGGCCUGCUGGACGAUGACUGACGUUGAGGCUCGAAAGCGUGGGGAGCAAACAGGAUUAGAUACCCUUGUAGUC